rnacentral:lncRNA from 1 species
GCAGAUCAGUAAUGUGCUGGCCACCACUGGCUCCGUCUACCACAGCUGGUUCUCCCGUGGCCUUCACCAUGGGACAAAGAUAGAGGGGUGCAGGGCUGUCCACAUCCACCCCACGUGGCAGGCAGUUUUUGUUUUCUAAGCAAAUGAUUGCAGUAGAGAGUUUCUUGUUUCCUCUUAGGAGAGCUUUAAAGAGCUCUGCUUCUGUAUGCAGUGGCUUGGAGCUCACCCUGCUCACUGUUGGUACCGCCCCCUUGUCCCACAUUAACCUGGAUACUUGGAACUGCUAAAAUAGGAAGAGCUUCUGCUUUUCAACUUUGCUACUACCUUCCCUCAAGC